GGGACCCCGCGGGAUGCUCGGCUCCGAUCCCGCAGCGAACCCGUCCGUGUGCCCGGCCGCUGCCGCCGCCGGGGGGGGGGGGGGGGGGGGGGGGGGGGGGGGGGGGGGGGGGGGGGGGGGGGGGGGGGGGGGGGGGGGGGGGGGGGUGAGGCGGGGAGAGAUGCGGGGAGCGAUGCUUGGGGCGGGCACGGAGCGACGAGCGGGGAGAAAUGCGCGGGGAGAGAUGCGGGGAGGGAUGUGCGGGGAGAUGGGGGGAGAGAUGCGCGGGGCGAUGAGGGGAGCGAUGUUUGGGGCGAUGUUUGUGGCGAUGAGAGGAUGAGGGGAGCGAUGUUUGGGGCGAUUUUUGGGGCGAUGAGAGGGGAGAUGCGGGAAGGGAUGCGCAGGGAGUGAUGUUCGGAGUGAUGAUGCGCGGGGAGAUGCGGGGGGCGAUGUUUGGGGCAUCAAAAAGCCCAUGUUAAGUCAAAUCUAUUUUCCACGCAAAUUGUUUUUGCACAACCAGGAAAAUACUAUUUGGGAUUGGGGAUUUGGGGCUGGAUUGGACACCGGGCGAUGCUCGGGGCGAUGUUCGGGGCGAUGCUCGGGGCGAUGCGCUGGGAGAUGCGCGCACCGCCGGAGCAGCCACGGCGCUGGUUCUGCCCGCAGGCAAAGGCAGCUACUGGACGCUGGAUCCCAACUGCGAGAUGAUGUUCGACAGCGGGAAUUUCAGGAGGAGGAGGAAGCGGCGAGCGGAGGCGGCGCAGGGAGCCGGGGACAGCGGCGGGGACCAGCGGGGGGGGGGGGGGGGGGGGGGGGGGGGGGGGGGGGGGGGGGGGGGGGGGGGGGGGGGGGGGGGGGGGGGGGGGGGGGGGGGGCGGGGACCAGCGGGGGGCACGGCCACCCCCGCCCGAGGCCACCGGGACCGGGCUCACCCCCAGCUCAGCCCGGGCACGAGAGAGGGUUGUGCUCGUACCGCAGAAAUGGUUUUCGAGGAUGAAAGCAUUCAAAUAACCUCUGUUUCCUUUUCCAAGUGGGUGGAUCCCAUCUGAGGGUCCAGGCUGCCUCUGGAGUGGGGAUUUCAUUCCCUGAGGAACGGGCACACAUUUUACAUGGCAAGGAUGGAGAAACUCCUGCCUGGCAGAGCUGGACCUUCCCAAGACCCAGUGAAGACACUGGACCUCAGAGCCGGGCAAGAAAUGAUUUCACUGAACCCACUUUUCCUUCUGCUCCAGGAUACAAAGCUCCAGAUCUGACUGCGAGGGCUGAAUUCCCGAUUUUUCCCCUGGGACCAAAUGCCACUGCAGGACCCAGGAGAUGCAGGAAAGCAGAACCCCAGGAGGCUGCAGGGGCUUCAAACUUCCCCAGAGUGGUUUUUGUUGGCUCACCCGGAUCCUGGGGCAGGGAAAUCCACGGAUAACUCCCAGAAAGGAUCACACCCCACUCCAGAACCUUUUCCAGGGACAGUUUUAGGUGAUGAUUUACUGUGUACAUGGAGCCACUGUUUGUAUUUCUCUGUGCUUCUCUUGUGCUCUGAUUCUAUUUUUGUGCAUGGGAAAGAAAAGGAGAAUUAUUUUUAUUUUUAAUAAAUCAUUGGAGCAGGGAAGUUGCAAUCCCUGGGAGCAAAACCAGUGCCUGAAGGAAGAGCUGCAGCAGGUAACGAGGCUCUGGGCUAAUUACAGCUGCAGGCUGUGGUGGGAUAUGGGAUGGGUGGGAUGCUGUGGGGUUGGGCCAGAUCCCCUUGGAAACCCAGAAAUAAUUGGUUUGUCCAGGAGGAUGAAAUCAGGAGCUGGGAUGAGGCUCCAGAGGAACCUUCCCAGACUGGGGGCAGCUGGAGAUGUGGGGUACACCCUGUGACCCCUCCUGCUGUCACCAAACCCUGGCUCUCUGUGCCAGCUGAGAGCUGCAGGAUGGUCCUGGUGCCAUUUCUGCUGUCUCCUGGUCUUGGAAAUACCAGAAAUCCAGCGGUGGGACUGGUUUCUGUGCAGGGCCAGGAGCUGGAAUCAAUGAUCCUGAUGGGUCCCUCCCAGAUGAGGAUAUUCUGUGAUUCUAUUCUAGAAUUCCAGCUGGAAUUCAAAGCAAUUUGUGCCUCCUGUGCUGUAACUGGUGUAGCAUCAAGGCAGCAGCAUUUUCACCAUUUCCCCCUCAAUAAACUAAACAGGAUUUAAAAGGUUUCACUAUUUGAGGGAGUACCCAAAAAGAGCAAAAAAUC
ensembl:lncRNA